CUUUGUUAGGGAAUUUUCACAAAUUUAUAGUGAGAGCUCUCAACAAAGUUCAUAUGUGGAGUGGAAUAGAAAAUUCAUUAGUUGGUUACAAAAAAAGGUUGCAGGAUUAUACAAACAUGGUGAUAGUAAGAGAAUGGAAGAUUUGCUAUCUUUAUCACGUGGCCCUAUGCCAUAUGUCACAAGAUU